CCUACGGGUGGCAGCAGUGAGGAAUAUUGGUCAAUGGGCGUAAGCCUGAACCAGCCAAGUCGCGUGAGGGAUGAAGGUUCUAUGGAUCGUAAACCUCUUUUAUAAGGGAAUAAAGUGUGGGACGUGUCCUGUUUUGUAUGUACCUUAUGAAUCAGGAUCGGCUAACUCCGUGCCAGCAGCCGCGGUAAUACGGAGGAUCCGAGCGUUAUCCGGAUUUAUUGGGUUUAAAGGGUGCGUAGGCGGCCUUUUAAGUCAGCGGUGAAAGUCUGUGGCUCAACCAUAGAAUUGCCGUUGAAACUGGGAGGCUUGAGUAUGUUUGAGGCAGGCGGAAUGCGUGGUGUAGCGGUGAAAUGCUUAGAUAGCACGCAGAACCCCGAUGGCGAAGGCAGCCUGCCAAGCCAUGACUGACGCUGAUGAACGAAAGCGUGGGGAUCAAACAGGAUUAGAUACCCCUGUAGUC
rnacentral:rRNA from 1 species